AAUGCUGUCAGAACAACUUGUUCACGACUUGUUCGUUCAUCAGGCCUCAACAAUAUUGUUCGAACAUGCGUCAACAAUAUUGAUGAACAAACAACCUGUUUUUUAUUGUUCGAACAACCGGAAACAAUAUCGUUGAAUAUUAAUUCAGAGUCGGAAGGGUUGCAAAGGGAUUGAAGGGAAUAAUUGGGAGCUUAUUUUGAUUAACGAUGGUACGAUUGGGAUCAAUCAGAUGCGCACGCACACCAGACUUCCAAAAGACCAAAACGUGUGACAGAUAUUCAAAACGACAGUGCGUUUUGGUAAAUAUCCGAACAAUUUCGUCGUUUGUCAAGAAUAUAUAUAUUGAUUAAAGUCGAAAACUACAUGGAAGCUAUUUACGAUCGCAUUUGCAUAAACAGAAAUCAUUUUGUUCGUCCUAUUUUUUAUCAGGCCGUGAGGCCGACUUUAAAGUUGUGUCACACGUGCAAUCGCAAUUGUUCGAGUCGUUUGUAUUGUUUUUAGGCAAGAUUCAUCGAAACUGUUAUCCGUUCGCAUUUGAUCAGAUUGGUAAAAAUGCGGUGGACUUGGAUUGGUUAUAAGAUAAUUCUGUUCAGUCAACUAUACAAAAGAAAAUUUAUAUCAUCUCUCCCAUACUCAGCAACAUAGAUUCUCUGGGAAAAGGAAGGAUAAUAUGCUUAUACAUGUAUCAUAUGGUUAUGAGGAUAGAGAUGUCUAUAGUUUUUAUUUUUGUUGCAUAUUGUGCUUAUGAGUGCAAAAUACAUCAAAUGAUGAUAAGCAUUAAUAUCAUACCACCAGAGCAGUUUCUCGAAGCACAGACUUCUCCAGUAAAGAGUUGAACCUCACUCCUAGAAGGCCACAUAUUUUCGAAGCCAACUCCUUGGUU